GGAAACGCGAUUUGUUCUUCGUUCAAGCAGUGAAUUUCGAAAUUGAGAGGUGGAAUUGAUAGAGGGAACAGAAAUGGUGAAUCGGCGAACGGACAAGUUGCUGAGAAGAACAACAAUGGUGGCCACUGUCACUGCUUCACACUUUCUCUUAACCGCCGAUUAUGGCCCUGAACCCAAUUUUCUUGAUCCUAUCAAAAAGUUUAUACUGUCAGCAGAAAGUUCUAUCAAGGGUUUCAUCUUUGGAUCGAAUAAUCAAUCUCAAGAAAGUCAAAAAGAGAAGCUCGGUUCCAAUGGUGUCAAGGACAAU
rnacentral:misc_RNA from 1 species